UUUUUAGUCUUAAGUAUGUCCCAUGCAAUAUUUGGGACAUACUUGUACUAAAA
rnacentral:pre_miRNA from 1 species